GACGAACGCUGGCGGCGCGCUUAACACAUGCAAGUCGAACGGAAAGGCCUGCUUUCCCUUGUGGAUUGCGGGUACUCGAGUGGCGAACGGGUGAGUAACACGUGAGUGAUCUGCCCCCAACUUGGGUAUAAGCCUGGGAAACUGGGUCUAAUUCCCGAUAGGACUGCAGGGUGGUGCCUGUGGUGGAACACGAUUUUCUAGUGGUUGGGGAUGAGCUCGCGGCCUAUCAGCUUGUUGGUGGGGUAAUGGCCUACCAAGGCGGCGACGGGUAGCCGGCCUGGGAGGGUGGACGGCCACAUUGGGACUGGGAUACGGCCCAGACUCCUACGGGAGGCAGCAGUGGGGAAUAUUGCACAAUGGGCGGAAGCCUGAUGCAGCGACGCCGCGUGGGGGAUGACGGCCUUCGGGUUGUAAACUCCUUUCGACCGCGAGGAAGCCACCUGGUUGGAAGGGUGGUGACGGUAGUGGUAGAAGAAGCACCGGCUAACUACGUG
rnacentral:rRNA from 1 species